AGUGGUUGACAACAAGAACUGGUAUACUUCAAUUAGAAAUGCCUGCAAGUGAAGCAUUGCAUAGUGAAGGAAGAGUGGAGAGUGCUUUAUUUUCUUUGCAAGGACAAAAAUGGCUAGCUGCCCAAAUAAAGGUGAUGCACCUUCUUUUAAGAUUACCAUAUGAAGGUUCAGUGUCACUUUCUUUUGGUAGGCAUUAUGGUGAGUUUAAUUUCCUUGUGUUUAAAAACAUGACUUAUUCAUUUCUUUGUAGUUGCAUGUAUUUGCUUUAUGUCAAGUACUCUGUAAAUGCAGAGCGUCAUGAAAUGGACUUUGCCACUUCUGUU